AUUGAACGCUGGCGGCAUGCCUUACACAUGCAAGUCGAACGGCAGCACGGGUGCUUGCACCUGGUGGCGAGUGGCGAACGGGUGAGUAAUAUAUCGGAACGUACCUUAUUGUGGGGGAUAACGCAGCGAAAGCUGUGCUAAUACCGCAUAAUCCCUAAGGGGGAAAACGGGGGACCGUAAGGCCUCGCGCAAUUAGAGCGGCCGAUACCUGAUUAGCUAGUUGGUGAGGUAAAGGCUCACCAAGGCAACGAUCAGUAGCUGGUCUGAGAGGACGAUCAGCCACAGUGGGACUGAGACACGGCGCAGACUCCUGCGGGAGGCAGCGGUGGGGAAUUUUGGACAAUGGGGGCAACCCUGAUCCAGCAAUGCCGCGUGAGUGAAGAAGGCCUUCGGGUUGUAAAGCUCUUUUGUCAGGGAAGAAACAGCAGCUCUAACACAGUUUGCGAAUGACGGUACCUGAAGAAUAAGCACCGGCUAACUACGUGCCAGCCGCCGCAGUAA
rnacentral:rRNA from 1 species